UGGGGGCGGGGGCUGUUUCUUGGGGAAGCCUGCUGAUUGGUAGGCCUGUCUGUCUUUCAAGCCUUGCAUUGCAGGAGGGGAGGUGGGGACAGAGGGUGAGGGUACCAAGGUAGGUUGCGAAGCAUAGUGAAAAAAAAAUAAAAGAGAAGAACCAUAGGCGCCAUUCAGUGGCGUAUGAUACGUGAAUUGGGGGACCCGGCAUCUGCGGAAGUCCGGGAGCUUCUCAUUUCUCCUCUUACCUUCAGGCUCCCCAACAUCAUGCGGGCUCAUCUAAACCUGGUUAAUCUAUAAUUUGUGUACACACUGUUGAAUUGAGAGCCCGCCCUUCUCUCCCUCUGACAGCUUGGUGAUGAGGGCACACGUGCCCACUACAGCAAAGCUAUAAAUAGCAGAUUUUGGAGCUGGUAACGAGGCGGUAACAACAGGGGCCGAGCUGCUGGGAGCAUAGCUUGCUUAAUGGGGAGCAUGGGAGGGGGAUGUGAAGCCAGGAAGACUGAAGUUAGUAGUAAAGUGUAAUCGUGUGGGGUUUUACCCUUGGCAAGAAAAAAGCAAGAUAAAAAGGUUGUUUUUUUAGUAACGACGUAAUCUAAGGCCAAAGGGCUUUUUACAGGUUUGAUGGUUAGCGCUGGUUGAGUGGAGGAUAUUUCACAUAGUGCAUAGACUUUAACUUUUCAAAUGACCUUCUUCCUCCCCCCCCUCCUGCCCCCCAAACCUAAAGGGAAUAUACCUGUAUAGAAACCAAAUAUUCGUUGCUAAAAGGAGCAGAAGGCAGGAAGAUCAAUUUAAUUUGCAAAUGUUCUGUAAUAACCUUCACAGAAAGGUGCUGUGGAGUACCUCCUUUACCAGGCAUGAAGCUGGGCACUGAAGAUUUAGAUUCCUGACAUAUGACCUUGCCCACAGGAAGCUUGCAGUAAAGGUGCUCAACAAAUGGAAGCGCGAGUUCUCCAUAAGUUCUUCAGAGGAUAAUUUUCAGGAUUCUGGCAACCAAAGGUUAAUUUUUAUGUCUCUCUACAUUAUAUUCACAGUUUCUUCAGACAUUAAAAUAAAAGGUCAAUCCU